rnacentral:lncRNA from 1 species
UGGCAAGUUGUCGCUACAUCUUUCCCAACAUUGUAUAAUCAACACAGGUUGUGUUGUGUGAGUGGAAGUGAGAUGGGAUCUCAUGUCUAGGAGUUCCUAGGCAGAAGUUGCAUGAGUAGUGUCGAGGUUAUAAGGCGUAAACCAAGGGUUUGCUAGAGGUCUUAGUGUAAGGCGUAAAUCCUAGGGUUUGCUGGAGGUCUUAGUAACUAGAGCUAUUAGUGGAUUUCCUUCCUGGAUUGGUAUCCCCCAGAGUAGNN